AACGAACGCUGGCGGCAGGCUUAACACAUGCAAGUCGAACGCCCCGCAAGGGGAGUGGCCGACGGGUGUGUAACGCGUGGGAACAUACCCUUUUCUACGGAAUAGCUCUGGGAAACUGGAAUUAAUACCGUAUACGCCCUACGGGGGAAAGAUUUAUCGGGGAAGGAUUGGCCCGCGUUGGAUUAGCUAGUUGGUGGGGUAAAGGCCUACCAAGGCGACGAUCCAUAGCUGGUCUGAGAGGAUGAUCAGCCACAUUGGGACUGAGACACGGCCCAAACUCCUACGGGAGGCAGCAGUGGGGAAUAUUGGACAAUGGGCGCAAGCCUGAUCCAGCCAUGCCGCGUGAGUGAUGAAGGCCUUAGGGUUGUAAAGCUCUUUCACCGAUGAAGAUAAUGACGGUAGUCGGAGAAGAAGCCCCGGCUAACUUCGUG
rnacentral:rRNA from 1 species